CUGUCCCUAUGAUGUCAGCACUGGGCUCUGAGACUUGUGAGUGAGAACUGUGCCCCGCUGUCCUGACAUGCAGUGGGACUGAGGGACAG